UUUGCGAUCCAGUCUGCAACGUAAUUGGUUUCUCGUGGACAGUGGGCCAGGGAGAUCCCUCGCGUUUGGGUGAGUAGUUCAUUACAUUCCUCAAAAAGUCUUCUCAAAGCCCAUGGGCUGAGGGGCGGAUGUUCUGUAAAACUAACAGUGGCUGGACUGUCGGUCAAAAUUGUCACAUGCUCUGCCAGACUGUCUUCCUUUUCGGCCAAUUCACGCAGACAGAGGAUGGCUUCCUUCACCGCAGUACCUUCGACUUCCAGAGGAGAGCUAGCAACCACCCCUUUAGCAAACCCUGUUAUAAUCAAACCUCUGGAAUCUCUACAAACACCACUCACUGAUCCCUCUAGUAUUGCGUUCGGUUGGGUUUUGCAAGCGGUAGAAUCUGCUUAGAUUGAUAGCUUCAUCAACGAUAACACCCGAUUUUGGGGAAACCUGUUGGAACACCUGGGCAUUUCUGGCCUUCCAGAUUUGCCAAAGGAUACCAGCGAGCAGUUCUUGGAGAGCCGAGAAACCGCCAGUAAGUGCUUCAUCUAACCACUUAUCCAUUCUUGUCAAGUUUGUCGGAGAAACAUCCAUCUGUAUUCUUUGAUCAGACCAAAUAUGCUUGAUCCAAUCGCACAAGAUGAAGGUGUGCUCCAUCGUUUCUGGAGCUUGCUGGCAAAUUGGGCAAA